rnacentral:tRNA from 1 species
GCCGGGAUGGCGGAAUGGUAGACGCGAAGGACUUAAAAUCCUUUGUCAGUUAAACGGCGUGCGGGUUCGAGUCCCGCUCCCGGCA